rnacentral:rRNA from 1 species
AAAUAGAGUACCCCGGUAGUCCACGCCGUAAACCGAUGCAGACUAGGUAUCAGAAGUAGUCGACCCGUUCUUGUACCAAAGCUAACGCGUUAAGUCUGCCGCCUGGGGAAGUACGGUCGCAAGACUAAAACUACAAAGGAAUUGACGGGGGACGUCGCACAAGCGGUGGAGCAUGUGGUUUAAUUCGACAACAAACGAAGAACCUUACCUAGGGUUUGUACAUCUAGAGAACCUCGCCGAAGGCGGGGGUGGCCCGCGAAGGGAGCUUUAAGACGAGGUGCGUGCGACGGUCGGUCGUCAGCUCGUGUCGUGAGAGUGUGG